CCUACGGGAGGCUGCAGUGAGGAAUAUUGGUCAAUGGGCGGAAGCCUGAACCAGCCAAGUCGCGUGAGGGAUUAAGGCCCUGCGGGUCGUAAACCUCUUUUGCCGGGGAGCAGAGGUCCGGACGUGUCCGGGCCGGGAGAGUACCCGGAGAAAAAGCAUCGGCUAACUCCGUGCCAGCAGCCGCGGUAAUACGGAGGAUGCGAGCGUUGUCCGGAUUUACUGGGUGUAAAGGGCGUGUAGCCGGGCUGACAAGUCAGAUGUGAAAUCCGGGGGCUCAACCCCCGAACUGCAUUUGAAACGGUUGGUCUUGAGUAUCGGAGAGGCAGGCGGAAUUCCUAGUGUAGCGGUGAAAUGCGUAGAUAUUAGGAGGAACACCAGUGGCGAAGGCGGCCUGCUGGACGACAACUGACGGUGAGGCGCGAAAGCGUGGGGAGCAAACAGGAUUAGAUACCCGUGUAGUC
rnacentral:rRNA from 1 species